AGCGAACGCUGGCGGCAGGCUUAACACAUGCAAGUCGAACGCCCCGCAAGGGGCGUGGCAGACGGGUGAGUAACACGUGGGAACGUACCCUUUGGUUCGGAAUAACUUGGGGAGACUCAAGCCAAUAGCGGAUAAGCCCUUAUGGGGAAAGGUUUACUGCCGAAGGAUCGGCCCGCGUCUAAUUAGCUAGUUGGUGAGGUAACGGCUCACCAAGGCGACGAUCAGUAGCUGGUAUGAGAGGAUGAACAGUCACACUGGGACUGAGACACGGCCCAGACUCCUACGGGAGGCAGCAGUGGGGAAUAUUGGACAAUGGGGGCAACCCUGAUCCAGCCAUGCCGCGUGAGUGAUGAAGGCCUUAGGGUUGUAAAGCUCUUUUACCCGGGACGAUAAUGACUGUACCGGGAGAAUAAGCCCCGGCUAACUUCGUGCCAGCCGCCGCAGUAA
rnacentral:rRNA from 1 species